rnacentral:rRNA from 1 species
GACGGGUGAGUAACACGUAGGUAAUCUACCUUCGAGUGGGGGAUAACGUUUCGAAAGGAACGCUAAUACCGCAUACGUACAAGAGUCGUUGGAUUCUUGUAGAAAGGGGACGCCCGUAAGGGGUUCUCGCUUUUAGAUGAGCCUGCGUCCGAUUAGCUAGUUGGUAGGGUAAUGGCCUACCAAGGCGACGAUCGGUAGCUGGUCUGAGAGGACGGCCAGCCACACUGGAACUGACACACGGUCCAGACUCCUACGGGAGGCAGCAGUGGGGAAUAUUGCGCAAUGGAGGAAACUCUGACGCAGCGACGCCGCGUGGGUGAUGAAGGCCUUCGGGUUGUAAAGCCCUGUCGGCUGGGAAAAAGGUAGUCGUGCUAACACCACGAUUGCUUGAUGGUACCAGCAAAGGAAGCACCGGCUAACUCUGUGCCAGCAGCCGCGGUAAUACAGAGGGUGCAAGCGUUGUUCGGAAUUACUGGGCGUAAAGGGCGCGUAGGCGGUUUAGUAAGUCAGACGUGAAAGCCUGGGGCUUAACCCCAGAAGUGCGUUUGAAACUGCUAGGCUAGAGUACAUUAGAGAAUGGCGGAAUUCCCAGUGGAGAGGUGAAAUUCGUAGAUAUUGGGAGGAACACCGGUGGCGAAGGCGGCCAUUUGGGAUGUAACUGACGCUGAGGCGCGAAAGCGUGGGUAGCAAACAGGACUAGAUACCCUGGUAGUCCACGCUGUAAACUAUGGAUACUCGCUGUGGCUGGUAUUGACCCCGGGCCGUAGCCAAGUUAACACGUUAAGUAUCCCGCCUGGGGAGUACGGUCGCAAGAUUAAACUCAAGGAUUGACGGGGGCCGCACAGCGGUG